rnacentral:snoRNA from 1 species
AAUCCAUGGUUAGGGCAUCACCUAAGUAGGUCAUUAUAUCGUUCCCAAGCCUCGUAAAGUGGUUCGCCCUCCGUUUGAGAAAAAUUUGAAAUCUCAUUACGCUU